rnacentral:lncRNA from 1 species
UGGUGAUGAGGAUGACCUAAGUCCUAACCAUGGUUGGUGGGUUAGUAGAGAAGAACCCAAGAGACUCAAAAUAUCUCUCAAGGGUUUGAGCUCCAUAUCCAUGAAUGGAGAUCAUAGGAAGUUGGUGAAAAAUGAAAAGGAAAAAUGCACUAUCCCUCCUAUAAGUUUAGUUGGAAAAAGGGGCUGAAACUCCCAAAGUUCAGCCACAAUGAAUGUACAAGAAACUAACAACAAAAGAAAUUAGUGACAUUAUCCCUCCCUUACCCUAAGGGAAGAUGUUUUGGUUGGUUAGACACAGAUUAUGUGAAAUCAUCAGUUGGUAAAAAAAAGAUUUCAAAAGUAAAAACAGUUUUAAAACCCUAAGAUCGAAGACUAGCUUAAUUUGAUGUCAAAACACAAAAAAACUCGGGCGAUCCAUGCCCAUGUUUUCGAUCGCUAAAACUACCUCUACAUCUAGAGGUGAUUAGCUUAAAACCAAAAAAAAAAAGAAAGACAAGAUGGAGGGACUAUCCAUUUUCUUCAAAACUAAUACUGAAGCUCAUUGAGGGCUUGGUAUUUGUGUUGAAUUUACAGUUUUUGCAAGCCAUGUUAAAAGCUUUUAGCCUUUUCCAAAGGCUAAAAUGUCCAAAAGGGGUUGUUUUUCUUAGCCUUUCCAGGGCUAGAAAUGUUGACACAACUUCAGCUAAUUCAAUAGCUUGAGUUGAUGAUGAUGAUAUGUUUAUAUAUAGAUGUACAUGCACAUGAUUCUCUUGAAAGGAACCCUUCUCUUUCAAGGAGAUGCAAAGAAGGAAGAAAGAUGCAUGACUCUCCACAUUUGGAGGUGAUGACUUUAGCCCCUAUGGGGGGCUUUGUGUAUGCGAAAAUGCCGGUAUGCCAAGCAUACAUGGGCUUUGUGUUAGAAGAGAAGAGAUAGAAGAGAAGACAAGAGAGAACCAUGGUUAGGGCAAAGGUUUCUUGAACUUCAGAAGCUGCUGAGGAACUGUGAAGCACUAGGAAGACUUGGGAUGAUCAAUGAAUCUUUAGCGAUUUGAUAUCGGUGCAUGAAGAGCCAUGUUCACGCCUGUGGCACAGCAAAACACAC